GACGAACGCUGGCGGCGUGCUUAACACAUGCAAGUCGAACGGAAAGGCCUGCUUUCCCUUGUGGAUUGCGGGUGCUCGAGUGGCGAACGGGUGAGUAACACGUGAGUGAUCUGCCCCCAACUUGGGUAUAAGCCUGGGAAACUGGGUCUAAUUCCCGAUAGGACUGCAGGGUGGUGCCUGUGGUGGAAAACGAUUUUCUAGUGGUUGGGGAUGAGCUCGCGGCCUAUCAGCUUGUUGGUGGGGUAAUGGCCUACCAAGGCGGCGACGGGUAGCCGGCCUGAGAGGGUGGACGGCCACAUUGGGACUGAGAGACGGCCCAGACUCCUACGGGAGGCAGCAGUGGGGAAUAUUACACAAUGGGCGGAAGCCUGAUGCAGCGACGCCGCGUGGGGGAUGACGGCCUUCGGGUUGUAAACUCCUUUCGACCGCGAGGAAGCCACCUGGUUGGAAGGGUGGUGACGGUAGUGGUAGAAGAAGCACCGGCUAACUACGUG
rnacentral:rRNA from 1 species